AGUUCUCGAAAAUGCAUAGAUACAGCAGGAACGGGCCGCCACGGAUGGCGGACCGAUGCGAACAACGCCACACGGAUGUGGCGUGUGAGCGGUUCCGGAAAAAGCAAAAACCCCGGGCAUUUUCGUAAGAACUGCUU
rnacentral:ncRNA from 1 species